CCUACGGGGUGCUGCAGUGGGGAAUAUUGCACAAUGGGGGAAACCCUGAUGCAGCGACGCCGCGUGAGUGAAGAAGUAUUUCGGUAUGUAAAGCUCUAUCAGCAGGGAAGAAAAUGACGGUACCUGAUUAAGAAGCCCCGGCUAACUACGUGCCAGCCGCCGCGGGAAUACGGAGGGGGCAAGCGUUAUCCGGAUUUACUGGGGGUAAAGGGAGCGUAGACGGCAGCACAAGUCUGGAGUGAAAUGCCGGGGCUUAACCCCGGAACUGCUGUGGAAACUGUGCAGCUAGAGUGCAGGAGAGGUAAGGGGAAUUCCUAGUGUAGCGGUGAAAUGCGUAGAUAUUAGGAGGAACACCAGUGGCGAAGGCGGCUUACUGGACUGUAACUGACGUUGAGGCUCGAAAGCGUGGGGAGCAAACAGGAUUAGAUACCCCGGUAGUC
rnacentral:rRNA from 1 species